CCUACGGGGUGCAGCAGUAGGGAAUAUUGCUCAAUGGGGGAAACCCUGAAGCAGCAACGCCGCGUGGAGGAUGAAGGUUUUCGGAUUGUAAACUCCUUUUGUUAGAGAAGAUAAUGACGGUAUCUAACGAAUAAGCACCGGCUAACUCCGUGCCAGCAGCCGCGGUAAUACGGAGGGUGCAAGCGUUACUCGGAAUCACUGGGCGGAAAGAGCGCGUAGGCGGGAUAGCAAGUCAGAUGUGAAAUCCUAUGGCUUAACCAUAGAACUGCAUUUGAAACUGUUAUUGUAGAGUAUGGGAGAGGUAGGUGGAAUUCUUGGUGUAGGGGUAAAAUCCGUAGAGAUCAAGAGGAAUACUCAUUGCGAAGGCGACCUGCUAGAACAUAACUGACGCUGAUGCGCGAAAGCGUGGGGAGCAAACAGGAUUAGAUACCCGGGUAGUC
rnacentral:rRNA from 1 species